UACGUAGGGUGCGAGCGUUGUCCGGAAUUACUGGGCGUAAAGGGCUCGUAGGUGGUUUGUCGCGUUGUUCGUGAAAUCUCACGGCUUAACUGUGAGCGUGCGGGCGAUACGGGCAGACUGGAGUACUGCAGGGGAGACUGGAAUUCCUGGUGUAGCGGUGAAAUGCGUAGAUAUCAGGAGGAACACCGGUGGCGAAGGCGGCUACCUGGACAGAAACUGACGCUGAGGCGCGAAAGCUAGGGGAGCAAACAGG
rnacentral:rRNA from 1 species